GACGAACGCUGGCGGCGUGCUUAACACAUGCAAGUCGAACGGAAAGGCCCUGCUUUUGUGGGGUGCUCGAGUGGCGAACGGGUGAGUAACACGUGAGUAACCUGCCCUUGACUUUGGGAUAACUUCAGGAAACUGGGGCUAAUACCGGAUAGGAGCUCCUGCUGCAUGGUGGGGGUUGGAAAGUUUCGGCGGUUGGGGAUGGACUCGCGGCUUAUCAGCUUGUUGGUGGGGUAGUGGCUUACCAAGGCUUUGACGGGUAGCCGGCCUGAGAGGGUGACCGGCCACAUUGGGACUGAGAUACGGCCCAGACUCCUACGGGAGGCAGGAGUGGGGAAUAUUGCACAAUGGGCGGAAGCCUGAUGCAGCAACGCCGCGUGCGGGAUGACGGCCUUCGGGUUGUAAACCGCUUUCGCCUGUGACGAAGCGUGAGUGACGGUAAUGGGUAAAGAAACACCGGCUAACUACGU
rnacentral:rRNA from 1 species